UGCCUCAUAGCUCAAUGGCAGAGCGACGCGCUGUUAACGCGGGGGUUGUAGGUUCAAGUCCUACUGGGGCAGCCA
rnacentral:tRNA from 1 species